UGGGGAAUGUUGCACAAUGGGGGAAACCCUGAUGCAGCGACGCCGCGUGAGUGAAGAAGUAUUUCGGUAUGUAAAGCUCUAUCAGCAGGGAAGAUAAUGACGGUACCUGACUAAGAAGCCCCGGCUAACUACGUGCC
rnacentral:rRNA from 1 species